CGAGGAAUAUUCUUGGAUAUAUUGCUUCGCCUCAAUAUUAAAAGAAGUUGAUUGAAUCUUCUGAGUUCUGGAGACGAAUAAUCGAAAACAUUAUUCGAAACAUUUCUCGUUGUGGAAUCUGUAAUAUACGACCGACAGUGGAAAUGCAUUUAGUCUAUUAUUUCACGAGGUGACGUCAGGAAAUGCACGCAUUGAUUUGCAUAUUACGGAGAGAAACAUACGAUGUCUCUCAACGAAGGAAAUGAGUGCGAUAAAAAUCAAUUGAGAAGGUGAAAAUCGUUCCAGGAGACCAUUAAGAUUCAUUAUGAGCAAAGGUAUGAAUGGAAUACCUUCAUUCGAAUCAAAAAUUGUCUAUUGUAUAGUUGCUACCUGACAAACGAUAUCAUGUUUAGACGAUAUCUUUCUACCACCUGUCCUGCAAGAUAACUGACCUAACUUCUCAAGAAGAAUAAUCACGUACUGCAUGAGGUUCAAUAUACUGCAAUAUUUGCUAUAGAGUUUAUAUAGCACUGCGACCUACAAUGGGUUCUAGUGUGUUUUGUUUUUUUAUUCCUGGUCGAUAUAAUAAAUUACGUGAUGCCUGAGACUGUUUCAUAUUCUCAUGAAUGUAACAAGCACUUCAUAUUCUCGAAUUUCAAAUAACUCGCUUCGAAGUUCCAGUUUUACUUCCUGUGACAUUUAGUUAAUUAAAAUUUUUAGUGCAAAUACACAUGUCAACGCUAGACGCGGUCCGAAAAACCUCGUCUUUUAAAACUCUCUUCUCAUUCUCUCAUCAUUUUACAGUAUAACGUACACUGUCCCUCAAAAUUAUGUUGAUAUUUUCUUAACUCUAGUAACUAUCUAAAAAAGUUACGAAAUCCAACGAAAUCAUCCAAAUGAAAUCAAACGAAAUUUUAUGUAUUCCAUUUUCUCCCAAAAUCAAAAUAUAUUUGAUCAAUAAUUCAUUACAUAUUACAAGUAAUUAUAUCUUUAGGCUAUUAAUUACUUUAUUGUUCACGUUUUAAUAUCAUUCCACACCUUUUUUUAAUAAUUACCAUGAGUGUUUUCGAAACCUUUCGACGAUAAAGGAAUAUAAUCCAGGGUAAACACAUACAUUUCUAGUUAUUUCACGAAUUUAAAUAAUCAAACUACCCAACGAAGCUAUUGUUCACCAAACUUGGUACAACAUUUUCCACUUAAAAUCACGUAAC